rnacentral:rRNA from 1 species
CCAAUAGCGUAUAUUAAAGUUGUUGCAGUUAAAAAGCUCGUAGUUGAAUUUCGGGAUCGGUACGCUGGUCGUGCCUCCGGUAUGAACUGGUGUCACUGGUUCCUCCCUUCUGAAGAACCAUCAUGCCAUUCACUGGGUGUGGUGGGGAAUCAGGACUGUUACUUUGAAAAAAUUAGAGUGUUUAAAGCAGGCUCACGCUUGAAUACAUUAGCAUGGAAUAAUGAAAUAGGACGUUGAUCCUAUUUUGUUGGUUUCUAGGAUUGACGUAAUGAUUAAUAGGGAUAGUUGGGGGCAUUAGUAUUCAAUUGUCAGAGGUGAAAUUCUUGGAUUUAUUGAAGACUAACUACUGCGAAAGCAUUUGCCAAGGAUUUUUUCAUUAAUCAAGAACGAAAGUUAGGGGAUCGAAGACGAUCAGAUACCGUCGUAGUCUUAACCAUAAACUAUGCCGACUAGGGAUCGGAUGAUGUUAAUUUUUUAAUGACUCAUUCGGCGCCUUACG